rnacentral:tRNA from 1 species
GCUAAUGUUUUCAGUGGUCUGGACCAGACUACGAAUCUGGGGGUCAGAGGUUCGAAUCCUUUCGGGCGCGCCA